rnacentral:rRNA from 1 species
UACGUAGGGGGCUAGCGUUGUCCGGAUUUAUUGGGCGUAAAGAGCGUGUAGGCGGCCAUGUAGGUCCGGUGUGAAAACUCAAGGCUUAACCUCGAGAUGUCAUCGGAAACCAUUUGGCUAGAGUCCGGUAGGGGAGCGUGGAAUUCCUGGUGUAGCGGUGAAAUGCGCAGAUAUCAGGAGGAACACCAACGGCGAAGGCAGCGCUCUGGGCCGGAACUGACGCUGAGGAGCGAAAGCGUGGGUAGCGAACGGG